rnacentral:rRNA from 1 species
AACGAACGCUGGCGGCAGGCUUAACACAUGCAAGUCGAACGCCCCGCAAGGGGAGUGGCAGACGGGUGAGUAACGCGUGGGAAUCUACCGUGCCCUGCGGAAUAGUUCCGGGAAACUGGAAUUAAUACCGCAUACGCCCUACGGGGGAAAGAUUUAUCGGGGUAUGAUGAGCCCGCGUGGGAUUAGCUAGUUGGUGGGGUAAAGGCCUACCAAGGCGACGAUCCAUAGCUGGUAUGAGAGGAUGAUCAGCCACAUUGGGACUGAGACACGGCCCAAACUCCUACGGGAGGCAGCAGUGGGGAAUAUUGGACAAUGGGCGCAAGCCUGAUCCAGCCAUGCCGCGUGAGUGAUGAAGGCCUUAGGGUUGUAAAGCUCUUUCACCGAUGAAGAUAAUGACGGUAGUCGGAAAAGAAGCCCCGGCUAACUUCGUGCCAGCCGCCGCGGUAA